GCCAUACCUAGCCCAAAAACCAACCAAAACGCAACUACUAAUAGUAAUCUAAAAUAAAACAUUCACAAACCACCUAAAAGUAUAGGAGAUAGAAAUUUCAAUCAGGCGCUAUAGAGAAAGUACCGCAAGGGAACGAUGAAAGAACAACACUUUAAAGCAACAAACAGCAAAGCUUACCCCUUGUACCUUUUGCAUAAUGGUUUAACUAGAAUAACUUAGCAAAGAGACCUUAAGUUAAGCACCCCGAAACCAGACGAGCUAUUUAUAAGCAGCCCCGCAGAGCGAACUCAUCUAUGUAGCAAAAUAGUGAAAAGACUUAUAAAUAGAGGUGAAAAGCCUACCGAGCCUGGUGAUAGCUGGUUGUCCAGCAAAAGAACUUCAGUUCAACUUUAAGCCUACCUAACAAACCCUCAAUUCAACUGUAGACUUAAAACAUAGUCUAAAAGGGAACAGCCCUUUAGACAUAGGUUACAACCUUAUCUAGAGAGUAAGUAUAAAAAUAAACCAUAGUUGGCCUAAAAGCAGCCAUCAAUAAAGAAAGCGUUCAAGCUCAACAAUUUAAUUAUCCUAAUUCCAAUAAUACUACCAUCUCCUAGUAACUAAAACUGGACCACUCUAUAAUUAUAUAGAAGAGAUACUGUUAAUAUGAGUAACAAGAAUCCUAUUCUCCCAUGCACAAGCAUAUAUCAGAACGAAUACCCACUGAUAGUUAACACAUGUAAAGUCAAAUCAAACAACAAGUCCUUUACACUAUUAAUGUUAACCCAACACAGGAGUGCUCCAGGGAAAGAUCAAAAGGAGUAAAAGGAACUCGGCAAACACGAACCCCGCCUGUUUACCAAAAACAUCACCUCUAGCAUCUCAAGUAUUAGAGGCACUGCCUGCCCAGUGACAUACGUUCAACGGCCGCGGUAUCCUGACCGUGCAAAGGUAGCAUAAUCACUUGUUCUCUAAAUAAGGACUUGUAUGAAUGGCCACACGAGGGUUCCACUGUCUCUUACUCCCGAUCAGUGAAAUUGACCUCCCCGUGAAGAGGCGGGGAUAUAAAAAUAAGACGAGAAGACCCUAUGGAGCUUUAAUUAAUUAACCUAAGAGUAACAUAAUACCAACCGAAAGGAAUAAAACUAAUCUCAAUUAUAGGUUAACAAUUUAGGUUGGGGUGACCUCGGAGCACAAAACACCCUCCGAGCAAUACAAGCCUAGACUUACCAGUUGAAGCUACUGAUACUUAUUGAUCCAAAAAUCUUUGAUCAACGGAACAAGUUACCCUAGGGAUAACAGCGCAAUCCUAUUCAAGAGUCCCUAUCGACAAUAGGGUUUACGACCUCGAUGUUGGAUCAGGACAUCCCAAUGGUGCAGCAGCUAUUGAUGGUUCGUUUGUUCAACGAUUAAAGUCCUACGUGAUCUGAGUUCAGACCGGAGUAAUCCAGGUCGGUUUCUAUCUAUUUUACGCCUCUCCCAGUACGAAAGGACAAGAGAGACAAGGCCCCCUUAGCUACUAAGCGCCUUCCAGCCUAACAGAUGACCUAAACUCAAUCUGAUAUGCUAUAAUCACUAACCACCCUAGACAUAGGGCU
rnacentral:rRNA from 1 species